UUUCCGUAGGUGAACCUGCGGAAGGAUCAUUAUUGAAUAACCGAGUCGCGAGGGCUGCCUCUGACCCGAUUGGCUGCUCACGCAUGAUUGCCUCCACACACAUCCACCCACCCCCCACGUGCACCACCGUUACUGUCCCCCUUUGGCUUGCUCGGCGGGGGGCCUACGUUUUCACUCUUUCUCUGUACGCACCGUAGUCUGUGUAUUUUGUUUUUGUAAUCACGAAACUUAUACCACUUUCAACCAUGGAUCUGUUGGCUCUCGCAACCACGAAGAAUC
rnacentral:misc_RNA from 1 species